AUGGGCAGUAUAAUUAUGGGCUCUUUUUAUUUUUUUCCUAGAGAUACGUUUCACUUGCCCGUCAUUAGGAGGGCUUGUUCGUGUCCCUCAGAGGUGGAGAAGGACGGAGAGGGACACCUGGUGGGAGAAGGGCAGAGAGAAGAGGCAGCUGGAAGAGGCAGAAAUGGAGACGUGUCUGAGAAUGAGAAGACCGAUUCUGCUCUCACCCUCACUGGAAUACAUCCAUCAGGCCUCAGCAAGACCACCUCUCAUUUAUACCAGCACAGCUGAGGGCAGAAUUAACCCUAGGGGUACAACUGUAUUUAUGACUCUAACAUCAUGAUGUUGUAUAAAGAAGUACAGGCCUAGUUUGAUAACAGAGACCUUGAGAAGUGGGGACAUCAUAGGAUGUGGUUUAGAAGAGUGCAGGCAUGUGAUGAUAAGAGAUGGGGUACAGGCUUGGCACUGGACGCUGAACAGCUAUAGACAACGCACCAAGGUUCAGUUAAAGAAAUGCAGACCUGGAGCUGGGCAAAAACUGUUUUCAUGGGCAACAAAAAAGAACAAAGAACAACUAUCUAACAUAUGCAAAAUGCGCCAUAUAUAGUAAAUUUGGAUGUAACAUGGAGCUGCAGAUCAGUGAAGGAAGAGUAAGGUGUAAAGGAAUGUUAGCAAAUAUAAAAAAUUACCCUAGGUGGACCCUCGAGUGAGGAAGAAGAAAGCAUCAACAUUAACAUCAUAUUCCUCCCAGUGAAGGACUCCAGAUGCUGAUGACUCGCCAUAACCCACCACCACCACCGCCACCAGAGUGAAACUAUCAAGCUCAGGACCCAAAGGAGCUGUGGAAGGGUCAGCAUAACACUGGGAUAGAAGCUAAAAAGUGUGUGAGUAACCAUUUUAACUGUAUUAUUACUAUUUUUGAGACUUUUUCUGUAAAGAAGUAUUCUUUAUUUUUCUGUUAUAGUUAGAUCUGGAAUAUUAUGAUUUUUGGAUUAGACUAUUAAGAUUUCAUUUAUGCUAACAAUAAAUUCUUGGCUUUAUGUGUAAGUAAGAAAGUA
rnacentral:lncRNA from 1 species